UCACAGUAAUGAUGCUCCUGAGGACACUGGCACCCAGCAACUCUUGAAUGCCCUCACCAAAGACCCUGGUUUUGGGACCCGGUGUAUGGAAGGAAACCCAAUCCCGUGAGUGUCACUUUCGCCAUAAGUUGUCUUCUCAUGCCUGCCAUCUGGUUUGAUUUCUGAUAUACUGCAUUUAUCAAUUGCAUGCCACAUUGUAACCACUAUUAUUUGUCUUUUGAAUCACUUUUUAUUUUUAAAAAGUGAAUAUAAUAACCUAAUCAGACCCAUCUAGGAACAUUUAGAGAGACUUCUAACAUCCUGCAAAGGAAAUCAUUAAAGACAUUUGUUUACUUCUUUAGAACGUUAAUAUUUAAUUUAAAUAGCACUUUAUACUUACUAAAUGCUUUUAUCACUUCUGCCCCCAACUCCUGUAUUUUAGUGCAACAAUAGGCUGCCAUCGUAUAUAAUUUGCAAUUUUGCUCAUCAGCUUCUUCACCUUAACAACCUGAAAAGAUAAAAUAGAUUUUUCUAAGAGGGGACACUUUCUUGUUCCAUUGCAUAUUUUUUCUUCAGGAUAAUGCUUUAUUCUUUUAUUAAACAACUUUCAGUGUAAUAAGUGUAUAUUUGUUAUGUACCAAAUAAUCACAGUUGUUAUGUCUUUCCUUAAUACUCAGAUAGUCCCAUAUUAAGCAAAUGGGAACCCUUUCAGGUUAGCUCCUGUGUCCCUUUAAACCAGUGUCAGUACUUGAACAUUCAGGAACAUUUGACCUUAAUGUAUUAGGUUUACUUCUUAUUUCCUGCCCUAGAUCUGGAACCAGAUAUUUAUCCAAGAUUUUUAGUGCCUUUUAAUAGGAAGCAGUAUUUAUUUUAUUUUAAAUUUUGAUUUGUUACAUAUGACAACAUAAUGCAUUACAAUUUAUAUUACACAUAUAGAGUACAAUUUUUCAUAUCUCUGGUUGUACACAAAGUAGAGUCACAUCCUUCGUGUCUUCUUACAUUUACUUAGGGUAAUGAUGACCAUCGCAUUCCACCAUCUUUCCUACCCCUCUGUUCCCUCCUUUCUCCUCCCUCCCCUUUUCCCUUUUGCCCUAUCUAGAGUUUAUUUAAUCCUCCCAUUGCACCCUGCCCCCCCCAGCAUAUUAUGAAUCAGCAUCCUUAAAUCAGAGAAAUCAUUUAGCAUUUGUUUUUUUGGGAUUGGCUAAUUUCACUUAGCAUUAUAUUCUCCAGCUUCAUCCAUUUACCUGCAAAUGCAAUGAUUUAUUUUCUCUUUUAAUGCUGAAUGCUUAAUAAUAUUCCAUUGUGUAUAUAUACCACAUUCUAUAUCUAUUCAUCUACUGAAGGGCAUCUAGAUUGGUUCCACAGUUUUAGCUAUUGUGAAUUGUGCUGCUAUAAACAUUGAUGUGGCUGUGUCCUUGUAGUAUGCUGUUUUUAAGUCCUUUGGGUAUAGACCAAGGAGUGAGAUAGCUGGGUCAAAUGGUGGUUCCAUUCCCAGUUUUCCAAGGAUUCUCCAUACUGCUUUCCAUAUUGGCUGCACCAAUUUGCAGUCCUACCAGCAAUGUAUGAGUGUGUCUUUUUCCCCACAUCCUCGCCAACACUUACUGUUUGUAUUCUUGAUAGUUGCCAUUCUGACUGGAGUGAGAUAAAAUCUUAGUUUUGAUUUGCAUUUCACUAAUUGCUAGAGAUGUUGAACAUUUUUUCAUAUAUUUGUUGAUUUAUUGUAUAUCCUCUUCUGAGAAGUGUCUGUUUGGUUCCUUGGCCCAUUUACUGAUUGGGUUAUUUGGUUUUUUGGUGUUAAGAUUUUUGAGUUCUUUAUCUAUUCUAGAGAUUAGUGCUCUAUCUGACGUGUGUGUGGUAAGAAUUUGUUCCCAAUUAAUAGGCUCUCUAUUUACCUCAUUGAUUGUUUCUUUUGCUGAAAAAAAACUUUUUAGUUUGAAUCUAUUCCAUUUAUUGAUUCUUGAUAUUAGUUCUUGCACUAUAGGAGUCUUAUUGAGGAAGUUGGCACCUAAUCUGACACGAUGGAGAUUUGGGCCUACUUUUUCUUCUAAUAGAUGCAGUGUCUCUUGGUUUAAUUCCUAGGUCCUUGAUCCACUUUGAGUUUUCUUUUUUUUUACUACCUUUAUUUAUUUAUUUAUUUUUAUGUGGUGCUGAGGAUUGAACCCAGGGCCUCGCAUGCCUUGUGCAUGCUAGGCGAGCGCUCUGCCACUGAGCCACAACCCUAGCCCCGCCCCCAUACACUUUGAGUUUUGUGCAUCAUGAGAGAUAGAGGUUUAAUUUCAUUUGUUGCACAUGGAUUUCCAGUUUUCCCAGAACCACUUGUUGAAGAGGCUAUCUUUUCUCCGAUGCACAUUUUUGGCACCUUUGUCAAAUAUAAGAUAACUGUAAUUAUGUGAGUUAGUUUCUAUGUCCUCUAUUCUGUAUCAUUGGUCUACAAGUCUAUUUUGGUACCAAUACCAUGUUCUUUUUAUUACUAUUGCUCUGUAGUAUAGUUUAAGGUCUGGUAUAGUGAUGCCACCUACCUCACUCUUCUUGCUAAGGGUUGCUUUAGCUAUUCUGAGUCUAUUAUUUUUCCAGAUGAAUUUCAUGACUGCUUUUCCUAUUUCUAUGAGGAAUGUCAUUGGGAUUUUGAUUGUAUUAAAUAUGUAUAGUGCUUUUAGUAGUAUGGUCAUUUUGACAAUAUUAAUUCUGCCUAUCCAAGAAUAAGGUAGAUCUUUCCAUCUCUUAAGGUCUUCUCUAAUUUCUUUCUUUAGCGUUCCAUAGUUUUCAUUGUAGAGGUCUUUCAUUUCUUUUGUUAAGUUGAUUCCCAAGUAUUUUAUUUUAUUUUUUGGUGCUAUUAUAAAUGGGGUACUUUUCCUCGUUUCCCUUUCAGAGGAUUUGUUAAUGAUACAUACAAAUUCCUUUUGAUUUAUGGUUGUUGAUUUUAUAUCCUACUACUUUGAUGAAUUCAUUUACUAGUUCUAGAAGUUUUCUGGUGGAGCUUUUUGGGUCUUCUAGGUAUAGAAUCAUAUCGUCAGCAAAUAGUCCUAAUUUAAGUUCUUCUUUUCCUAUAUCUAUCCCUUUAAUUUCUUUCAUCUGUCUAAUUGCUCUGGCUAGUGUUUCAAUAACUAUGUUAAAUAGAAGUGUUGAAAGAGGGCAUCCCUGUCUUGUUCCAGUUUUUAGAAGGAAUGCUUUCAAUUUUUCUCCAUUUAGAAUGAUGUUGAUCUGGGGCUUAGCAUAGAUAGCUUUUACGACGUUAGGACAUGUUUCUGUUAUCCCUAGUUUUUCUAGUGUUUUGAAUAAGAAGGCGUGCUAUAUUUUAUUGAAUGCUUUUUCUGCAUCUAUUAUGCUGCAUCUAUUAUUUCUGCAUCUAUUAUAUGAUUAUAUGUCUUACCUUUAAGUCUCUUGAUGUGAUGAAUUGCAUUUAUUGAUUUCUGUAUGUUGAAGCAACCUUGCAUCCCUGGGAUGAACCCCAUUUGAUCAUGGUGUACCAUCUUUUUGAUAUGUUUUUGUAUUCAAUUUGCCAGAAUUUUACUGAGAAUUUUUGCAUCUAUGUUCAUUAGAGAUUUUGAUCUGAAGUUCUCUUUUUCUGAUGUGUCUUUGCCUGGUUUUGGAAUCAGUGAGAUAUUGACCUCAUAGAAUGUGUUUGGAAGUGGUCCCUCUUCUUCUAUUUCCUGAAAUAAAUUGACGAGUAUUGGUGUUGGUUCUUCUUUAAAGGUCUUAUAGAACUCAGCUGUAUCCAUCUGGUCCUGGGCUUUUCUUUUCUUUUUUUGGUUGGUAGGCUUCUGAUGGUGUCUUCUAUUUUGUCACUUGAAAUUGAUCUGUUUAAAUGUGUCUAUCAUCCUGAUUCAAUUUGGAGAAAUCAUAUGACUCUAGAAAUUUGUUGAUGCCUUCGAUAUUUUCUAUUUUAUUGGAGUACAAGUUUUCAAAAUAAUUUCUAAUUAUUUUGAAGAUAAUUUCUAAUUAUCUUCUGUAUUUCUGUAGUGUCAUUCAUGAUAUUUCCUUUUUUAUCACGUAUGUUAGUAAUUUGAUUUUUUUCUCUCCUUCUCUUUGUUGCAUGGCUGACGGUCUGUCAAUUUUAUUUAUGUUUUCAAAGAACCAACUUUUUGUUUUGCAUUUUUUUCAGUUGUUUCUUUUGUUUCAAUUUCAUUGAUUUCAGCUCUGAUUUUAGUUAUUUCCUGUCUUCUAUGCUUUUGGAAUAAAUUUGUUCUUUUUUUUCUAGGACUUUGAAAUGUAAAGUCAUUUAUCUGUUGACUUUUUCUUCUUUUAAGGAAUAAACUCCAUGAAGUGAACUCUCCUCUUAGAACUGCCUUCAUAGUGUCCCAGAGAUUUCGAUAUGUUGUGUCCGUGUUCUCAUUCAUCUCUAAAAUUUUUUUAAUCUCCUCAUUGAUGUCUUCUGCAACCCAUUGUACCUUCAGUAGCAUAUUAUUUAGUCUCCAGGUGUUGGAGUAGAUUUUAUUUCUUACAUUGAUUUCUAAUUUCAUUCCAUUAUGAUCUGAUAGAUGCAGGGUAGUAUCUUUACUUUUUUAUAUUUGCUAAGGGUUGCUUUGUGGCAUAAUAUAUGUUCUAUUUUAGAAAAGGAUCCAUAUGCUGCUGAGAAGAAAGUGUAUUCUCUUGUUGAAGGAUAAGAUAUUCUAUAUAUGUCCUUUAAGUCUAAGUUAUUGAUUGUGUUUUUGAGUUCUAUAGUUUCUUUGUUCAGCUUUUGUUUGGAAGAUCUAUCUAGUGGUGAAAGAGGUGUGUUAAAGUCACCCAAAAUUAUUGUGUUGUGGUCUAUUUGAUUCUUGAACUUGAGAAGAGUUUGUUUGUUGAAUGUAGAUACUCCAUUGUUUGGAGCACAUAUAUUUAUAAUGGUUAUGUCUUGUUGAUGUAUGGUUUACUUGAGCAGUAUGUAGUGUCCUUCUGUAUCCCUUUUGGUUUACUUUAGCUUGAAGUCUACUUUAUUUAAUAUGAGGAUGGAAUCCCCUGAUUGUUUCUGCAUUCCAUGUGAGGGGUAUGAUUUUUCCCAACCUUUCACCUUCAGUCUGAAUGUUUUUUCCUAUGAGAUGAGUCUCUUGGAGGCAGCAUAUUGUUGGGUCUGCUAGUUUAUAUCUUUUGAUCCAUGAGUUUAGGCCAUUAACAUACAGGGUUAUUAUUGAGGCAUGCUUUGUAUUCCCAGCCAUUUUUAAAUUUUUGAUAUUUAACUUGACUUGAUUUCUCCUCGGAUUAGUUUUUCCUUUAGUGUAAUACCUCCCUCUGCUGAUUUUCAUCAUUGUUUUUCAUUUCCUCUUCAUGGAAUAUUUUGCCAAGGAUGUUCUGUAGUGUAGGCUUUCUAGUUGUGAAUUCUUUUAACUUUUGUUUAUCAUGGAAGAUUUUUAUUUCAUGAAAUAAAACUAAAGUUUAAUUUUGAAAACUAAAGUUUAAUUUUGCUGGGUAUAAGAUUCUUGGUUGGCAUCCAUUUUCUUUUAGAGCUUGGCAUAUGUUGUUCCAUGAUCUCCUGGCUUUGAGGGUCUGGGUUGAAAAAUCUGCUGAGAUAUGCAUUGGUCUCCUUGUAUACAUGAUCUGAUUCUUCUCUCUUGCGGCCUUUAAGAUUCUAUCCUUAUUCGGUAUGCUAUAAUGUGCCUUGGUGUAGAUCUGUUGUAAUUUUGUAAAUUUGGUGUCCAGUAAGCCUCUUUAUUUGGUUUUCCAAUUCAUUCUUCAUACUUGGGAAAUUUUCUGAUAUUAUCUCAUUGAAGAUUUUGUGCAUUCCUUUGGUUUGAAACUCUGUACCUUCCUCUAUCCCAAUAACUCUUAUAUUAAGUCUUUUGAUGGAUAGCAAGAAUUAUGGGAUACCAUACCAAGAUUCUUGAUGUUCUGUUCAUGGUUUCUUACUAUCUUCACUUUGUGGUCAACUUUAUUUUCCAGAUUGUAUACUUUGUCUUUAUUAUCUGACAUUCUUUCUUCCAAGUGAUCUAGUCUGUUGGUUAUACUUUCCAUUGAGUUUUUUAUUUGGUUUAUUAUUUCCUUCAUUUCAAGGAUUUCUGAUUGGUUUUUUUUUCAGAGUCUCUAUCUCUUUCUUGAAGUAUUUGCUCUCUUAUCUCUUUGUUGGAGUGAUCAAUUUUUGACUGUAUUCGCUCACUUAGGUCAUUCUUUAAUUCACAGAUCAUUUUAAUUAUGAACCUUCUGAACUCCUUCUCUGACAUUUCAUCAACUUCACUGUCCAUGGGUUCUGUUAUUGUAGUAUCCUGGUUUGUUUAUGGCACUUUCCUCCCCUUUUUUUUUUUCAUGUUGCUGCAGUACUGAUCAGAUUUGUAGUUACUGAUAUCCUUUCGAGGCCAUUUAUCUAUGUGUCUUCCUUUCUUGCAGUGUGGAUCUGAGAUAUUACAGUUUCUACCCCAUAUUCUUAUAGUACCCGUGUAGAUUGUCUGUACCUCACCUUGAUGUUGGGCUUCCAGACCCUGCUGGUGUCCCUCAAUGUAUGCUACUGCAACUAAAGGUGGUGGCAGCAAUAGCAGAGGUAACAUGAGAUAAUAGUGGGGGUACCCCAAGAUGGAUGCAAUGUCUUACAGAGAUGGGGCUGAAAGGGUGGGCCUUACACUGUCUUUGGGAUGCCUGCUCUGAGAUGCAGCUGCUUCUAGGCCCUGACUGUUGUCAAAAGGCAGGGGCUACUGUGUGGGGAAGGCUAUGGCGAUGUCUGCAGUGUCUCAAGAUCAAAGUGGGUUAGGCUUGGGCAUCCAGGUGUGUGUGUGGGGGUGGUGAACUUGGACCUACUCUGGGCCUGUCCCACAUAUGUUGAUGUGGGUGGAUCUAGGCCAGGCCUGGGCUCCCAUGGUGUUCUGUUGGUCUGAAGAGGUGGUCCUGUGCCAGAGCCUGAGUUCCGGGGAGUGUCUGCGGAUGGCGGAAUGGACCCAGGCCUACUGUCCAUUGCAUAUUUUUUACCCUACUUUCCUACAGAAUAUUUUUUAAAGAGUAGGCAAAUAAAUUCAGUGAUCAUAUGCAAAUGACUCUUUGAGUUAAGGGGAAAGCAAGUCAGGAGAUCAUGUGGUAAAGACAGUGGUGGCUUCUUUUUCCUGUGUCUUCUCUUCUACAGUUUUUGCAGUACUGAUCAGAUUUGUAGUUGCUGAUGUCCUCUCCAGGCCAGUUAUCCAGAAAGAUAGACCAUCAAAACAGAAAAUUCCUUAGAAAGAAAUUCCUUAGAACUUUUCAUGCUCAAAGAUUCCUGGAACUAAGUUGCAUGUGGGAAAGGGCAACCAUCCUGGCAACCCCCACUGAAAUUCCAAUUUUAGGUUUAUAGAAGGUGGUAGGACUGGAGAAAAUUUGACUGGGUACUUCUCAGUGGUCUUUAAGUUCAUCUCAGUCAAUUGUCUUUUGAAGGUUUUAGGAGCCAGCUUCAGGAGGACACAAUGUCUUAGUUUGACUUUUCCAUUUAGUUAACAGGCUUUAAAGAGUGGGAGAUCAAUCUGAAAGGCUGUUCAUUUGAUUUCUUUUAAUAUAUAAGAAAAUUGUAUGAAGUCUGUGGCUCUAUUUUAAAUUGUAGAAUUUUGAAACUGGAAGAGAGGCUAGAAAUAACAAGUCAUUUUGUACUUUUACCAGUGGAAAAAAUAAGCCCUGAGAGGACAAGGAAGUUGCUGAUGGUUUCAUAAGAAUUCAGAGUUCAUGUCAGAAAUAAAGGCCAUGUGUUUUGUCUCCUGGGAUGCUUAUACUAGCUCUUCUUAUACCAAGCAUUCUCACCCUACUCGCCCCACCCCCCUGAAUUCUCUACUCAUUUUAGAACAUAGAUUGAAUCUUGCCACUCUCCACAGGAUUUUUGGCACAUUGAGCAUAAAAUCCAGACUCCCUUCCCAGGCUCCUUCUGGCACCUGCCUCACUUUUCUCCUUGUUUAUCAUCUCUCUUCUUCUUAGCUUAUCACAUUCCAGUCACACUGUCUUCCUGUUGUUCCUCAAAUACAGAAACACUGCUUCUCAGGGUCUUCCACCUGACUUUUCAUUGCCUCCGCUUGGAGUAUUCUUCCCCCCCCCCCCAGAUCUUUGCCUGGCUUGUUCUCUCUCAUCAUUGAUGUUGUGGCUGAAUAUUGUUUCUUCAGGAGGAGGCUUCUUCCCAUGUGCUCUCCCCUUAUUUUGUUUUAUUUUUAGUCAUAUAAAAUUAAAUUGUUUAUUUGCUGUCUAACUCCUUUUUGGCAUGCAAAUGCCAUGAAGGCAUGGAGUUUGUCUUGCUCACUGCAGACUCACAGACAUGCACAAAAGCAUCUGGCUCAUAGCCAAUGCUCAGUGUGUGUGUUGUUUCAACAAAUGUUGGUGGCUGGAUCAAAUAGAGUUCAGUUUAUGAACAUUUAGGAUCUGUUUGUAUUCUAAUUUCCUUAUCUAUAAAACAGUGUUGCAAGGCUGUUGAGAGAUCAGAUAAUCAAACAAGGCUAUGCCCAUUCUUUGUAAAUGGUGAGGAAUGGGCUUAUGUUUGUGGUUGUUACAGAAUGAUCCUGUGCUCUUAAGGCAAUAGGAAAGGCCAGGCCCUCUCCAGUAAUCCCGCCCCUGAUGCUUUUCCUUUGCAGAGACACACCCUGCUUGGCAGGGGAGGAGGAGUGGACUACUGCCCCAGUUCCCCAGACCAUCAUGGACCUCUUCCAAAACGGGAACUGGACAAUGCAGAACCCUUCACCUGCCUGCCAGUGUAGCAGUGACAAAAUCAAAAAGAUGCUGCCUGUGUGUCCCCCAGGGGCAGGGGGGAUGCCACCUCCACAGGUGAGUCCCCAUCAGAGUAAGACUGCAUAGUUCAUGCAGGGUCAGCAGCCAGCAUCUGCUGGGAGCAGGAAUGAGUGAGAUGUGAGAUUAGGAUAGUUUAUUUCAGCCUCGAGGUUAAUGCUUAUCAUAAGGAAAAGCAAGGGAGUUUUGAGGGAAGGGGAUUUGGACCACAGUGUACCUAUGCCUGUCCCACAGUGUUGGUGUCAUAGGAAAGAGAGUGGUAGGCAUGGCUUCUAACCCUCGUUCUGCCACAAAUUAACUGGUGGCCUUCCAAAAGGCCAUUUUAAUUCUCUGGGCUUCCUUCUUAACUGCUAGAUUAGGGAGGCUGAACCAGAAAACUUUCAAUGGGCCUUACCAGUUCUGAAAUUUUUCUGCGAUUCUGAGUUUAGGACAGUUAUCUGAGCCUUUUUGUUUCUUCCUCACAAUUUUAGGAAGUCUUGUUUGUGCUACCUUUCUGCUGCUUUAUCAGCAUCCAAGUUGAAGGGUGAGAAUAAGGCAUUUUAAGCAGAUGUAAGAAGUCAUGGUUACCACUCUAAGUAGCUAAUCCACUCAAUGAACUCCAAUGAACACAAGAAUUCACUAGGCAAAGUUUGUGAUUCUGUGCCCCAAUAUCUCUUGUGGUAAAGAAAAAUCACAUCUCAGUGCUUAUUGUUUAGUUAUUCCAAAUAAUUCCCUAGGGAAGACCUUGGUGUGGUAUAAGUGCAUGACCAGUACUGAGGGCAGCAUGGACCAGAUCUUGGUGGUGGUUGGUGGAGGGUGAUGCCUGGGCCCUGUGGUUAGGGCUCCAGUCACACAGUGGCAUGUGUUGGAGGAACAUCUGUCACUGUAGCCCUUGAUAUGUUUUAUGUGCCAAUUCUUGUCUAAGAAGACACACAUGCUUGAUUUUUAUGUCGUGACAGAGAAAACAGAACACUGCAGACAUCCUUCAGAAUCUGACGGGAAGGAACAUCUCGGAUUACCUGGUGAAGACGUAUGUGCAGAUCAUAGCCAAAAGGUGAUUAUUUACGCAGUGUGGCCUGUGUUUUAUCAUCCCUGAUUAGAGGAGUUAAAGGCCUACAAAUAGUGGACCCACAUGGUGGGGAGAUUGCCAGAGUAUGGCUUGAUGUUUCUACUGGAAGUUUAGGAUGUCAUCCUAAACUAGAAAUGAUGCGUAGAGGUACUGUGAGCAUUCAGUUUUUAGCUUAAAGGUUGAGGCAGCAUUGUCUAGAAUGAAAGUAAGUAUGCAUUCAAAUUUGAAUUCUACCACUAACUAGUUGCUUGACCAGGAGCAUUAUCAGGCAGAACCUUAAUCUGAAAAAGGGAGUGGUGGUGGUUUACCUCCAGGUUAAGGGGACAACUCUGAGUGACAGUAAUCAAAAUUUUCUCUUUGUUAUCCUUUUAAAACUCUAAUUUGGGGGCUGGGAAUAUAGCUCCAUGGUAGAGUGCCUGCCUACUAUGCACGACACUCUGGGUUCGAUCUCCAGUAUUGUGGAAAAAAAGUCUUAAUUUAUAUAAAAGUGAUAUUACUGUUGCUCCUACAAGUUUGUUGUGAGAACUAAAUGAAGUGAAUUAUGUGAAGUGUCUUAGAUGCUCAUGUGAUAUCAUGGGGAGAACCUUGAGAAGAUACAGUAGCUCGUGGCUAUGGAACUUUGAAGCUUCUGGGACCUGGUGGCAUAGUGUCAAAUGUUUAGUUAAUGCUCAGAAAAUUUGUGUUCUGGUUCCCUUCCCAGCAGCUUGAUAAAGAGGGGUAUCUGUGUUAGAAGCUCAUUAUCUUUAAAUGAUAAAGCUGAUCAAAAAUGUAAUGACCUUGAGUCAUUAACAUAACUUCUCCAUAUGUCAUUUAUAACUGAUGUAUUAGUUGAAUUGAAAAAUCUUCUAGUUAAUUCAUGCCUUGGUUUGUAAGGUGGUUUUUAAAACUGGCUCAACCCAAGUAUGACCUUAAUGUAAGGUUUUUAAGAUAGAAUACAAGGUAUGUUGAGAUUAGGCUUCUUUCCACUGGUACAGUCCUGUAGUGCCAGCCUGAUGAUAGGAUUACUUCUGGUCCUUUCUUUUGUCUUCAGGUAGAUGUUUACUCCUUUUGCAUCAUCAGGUAUAGCAUCAGUCUUUCUAGAACUGAUUUUUGGUUUUUGUCUUUAUUUCUGCAGCUUAAAGAAUAAGAUCUGGGUGAAUGAGUUUAGGUAAGUUGAUCUCAAGAUUUUCCCUGGUGCUUCUAGUCUUGGGAGAAUGAUUUUUAUGCAGGCAUAUUGGAUGGAGGGAAGCUGUUGGUUUCGGGAUUGUUUGCCCCUCACACACUCCUGGGUGCCACAUCACUGUGAGGAGAGAAAGGCCCUGUAGAAUCUAUGGAGCAUGUGGGGUAUAGACAGGCUUAUAUUAGACUUGGAUUUUCUGCCCAGAGCAUUUCUACUCAGUGUCCAGCUGCCACUUCAGAGGCCUUUGAACAAUCCGGUUCACUGAUUUCCUUAAGGGCACUUAGAAAUCUCUUGUGAGUCUCCAGGGACUAGUAACAUUAUGAGGGAAAUACCUAUCCUAGUUGCAGUUUUACCCAAUCAGAUUCCCACGGGUUCCCAGGGACUCAAGAACAAUUUUUCAGGCCUUUGGCAUAAGAUAAAGAAGGUCUUGGAGAAAAUAAAAAACAUUUUCAUAUUUUAAUCCAUUUGUCCCUCUGGGUCUUGAAGAUGUGAGGGGGUAAGGAAGCAUCUUUGGAUCCAGUUUGUAUAAUCAUGGAAAUGAGAUGGCUGGUGUGACUUCCUCAGGAGACCUUAAAGGCUCCCUGUUACUGUUUCACACUUUUCUUCCUUGCCUUGUCCCCAAGGGCCAGGAUCUUUGAAAACUCUGGGCAGAGCAGAGUAGCCCUCAUGCUAGUAAAGAUACAAGGUCUCUUAUCCCCAUCUGGCCCACUUGCGACAGUGUCCCUCACCACCUACCCUUCUACCCCAUCUGCUUGCCUACAAAGACAGUAGUGAAUGUGAAAUAAAUGACCUUACUUUUCUCAGUGUCUCAGAUAUCUAACUAUAAUCAGACCCAGGACCUCCCUACUGGGCAGCAACCCAGUUAAUAGCUUGCUAGAAUCCAAGGUAUAACUUGUCUGAAUCAAACUUUGGUUGAAUAAGAAAUGGGUCUCUAAGAGGCUUGUCCACACUCAUGUGGUGUCUGCUGCUGGUGAUCACAUGUGGCAUACUGGGUUUUAAUGUCAGGCUGUUCUUCUAGGUAUGGUGGGUUUUCCCUCGGUGUCAGUAACUCUCAAGCACUUCCUCCAAGUCAAGAAGUUAAUGAUGCCAUCAAGCAAAUGAAGAAACACUUGAAGCUGGCCAAGGUAGUAUAUCCAUCUUGAGACAUGUUGGAAGAAAGGGCUUGGAGCUACUGGGACAUGAGCAUAGUGGGCAGAUAGAUCUGACCAGCUAGCAGCUCAUUGUUCAGAUUAUCUUUGACUACUGAGCCAUCAUUGGUAUUCUGUGACUUCAACAAGACGGGAUUGAAUUAUUCAGUGUAUACUUAAAAUCCUGAAAGUGUAGACCACAAAUAGAUUCAGAGAUUUAAAAGUUCUUAGAAUAACUGUUUGUCAGUUUGGCCAGUAGUAAAUAAACUGGCCUUCAAGCAGACUUCCAAAACAAUCACUAACUAAACAGAAAUGGAUGAGUUUCAUUUUUAAGUUGGCUGGCUGGUCUUCAGGUCCUAGUGAGCACACACUUCAUUUCUCUGUAUCUCAUAUUUCCCAUUUUGAACUGAGAAUUGAGGGAGUCAUAUGACAUGGAUUUUGUGAUCCUGGACAGCAGUGAUAGUCCUAGAGUCCAGUCUGUACUUCUGCCUUUGGAACACAGGCCCUAAUGUCUGACACAUCUGCACAUAAAUUGUGUUUGUGGUUCUUGGGAUGAUGCCAGGGGAACACUUGGAAGAAAUUCUCAUUGCCAGGUUAUACAGACAACAGUCUUGGGACUUCAAGCCACAGGAUUUCUCAGAUAUUUUUAAGACUGUGGCAUUAUGGAAACAUUCAUGCUGUAGGCUUCUGGUCAGUUGGUUCUCAGGAAUCAUUUAAUGGCUUUAAAUUUAAUUUUAGUGUGGUAGUGGUGGUGUUGCUCUUGAUAGGGGUGUCUUGUUGUCCACAGCUUCCGGACUGACUGUUGCCCUUUACCUGUUUGAAUCAUCACAAUUGAGGUGGGUUUCUGUUGUUUACAGGACAGUUCUGCAGAUCGAUUUCUCAACAACUUGGGAAGGUUCAUGACAGGACUGGACACCAAAAAUAAUGUCAAGGUAAAAUGCUGUCUGUGUUUUACUAACUUUUUGGUAACCUAUCCUGUUCCCUGAAGUAUUUUCAGCCAUAGUAAAAUUGGAGGGGUAUUCAUGACAGAAAAGAGCAAAUGGUUAAAUCCACUAGGGAGGCUGUAUAGUGGAGUGAUUAAGAGAAUUUGUUUUGUUGCCAGACUUUGACUUGAAUUACUUAACCUUCAGUUUUCUCAUCUGUAAAAUGGGGAUAAUAAUCAUGGCUCUCUCCAAAUAGUUAUGGUGAAUAUAUGAAUUAAAGAUACAAGGUCCUCAGUACAACCCUGGGCCCCAUAGUCGGUGGUUGUAUCCUUGUGUUAUCAUCACUCUGCCAUGUUCUGCAGUGUUUUGUAUUGGUAUAUGACUUGAGUUUCUAAAAUUUAGGUGCAUGAUUUGUGUGUGUGUGUAUGUGUGUGUGUGUGUAUGUACCUACUUCUGAGAGUAGUGUUUAGGAACAUUAUCUUUUACCUGCUAUGUUUUAUCUCAGGUGUGGUUCAAUAACAAAGGCUGGCAUGCUAUCAGCUCUUUCCUGAAUGUCAUCAACAAUGCCAUUCUCCGGGCCAACCUGCAGAAGGGAGAGAACCCUAGCCAGUAUGGGAUUACUGCUUUCAAUCACCCCCUGAAUCUCACCAAGCAGCAGCUUUCAGAAGUGGCUCUGUAAGUAUGGCUGUGUCUAAAAGAAUGGGGUGAGGAGAGAGUACUGGGGAAAUCUGGAGCAGGAGAGGGAAAUAGAAGGCUCCUUGUAGGGUAGCUGUUGCAGAGUCAAGUACAGUAUGUAAGUCUGGGUCCAUCCAGACUCUGGGCAGAAAAGAUCACUUUACAAAUUGACCAGCAGGGCCUUUUUGAAUUGUAGAAGAAAAUGGCACAGAUAUGCAAAAAUCAUUAUAUUUGGUGAUUCAUAUAAAGCAAGUUGAAAAUUGUUAAUACAAUCCUAAAAUAAGUAUAUUCACCAUUAACACAUAAAAGUCAGUUUCAUUUGUUUUAAAACUGUUUUAACCCAGUGAAAUAUGCUUUAAAUAGUUUGACUUGAAUUUGUCUUGAAUUUGUGUGUGUGUGUGUGUGUGUGUGUGUGAAGUUUAAAGCCAGUACAGUCUUUGGAAUUAUAGAGAUCUGGGUUUAAAUCUAGACUGUCAACUUUCUAGAUGUCUGAUAUUAAAUGAGGCCAUUUAUGUAAAUUGCCAAGCCAAGCUCCCAGCACAGAGUUGACAUUCAAUAUGUCAUAUCCCCUUUCUAUAAAUGGAGCAUGAUGCAGUUAGUUUCUACUUAAUUCCUAUAGAAUAUCAAUAAUGGACACUAGGGAUCUUUAUACCAACACCUUCUUAAUUGGCUUGUAAAGUGUCUUAUAAAAAGAAUCUGAUAGAAUUGUUAUAUGUGUUAGAUUGAUAUACUACAUUGUGUUGUUCUAAAACUUACUUAGAGCAAUAAAUAUUAACUUAUUUGAGUAGUUUCAUACCAUUAUUUUUUGUGUGUAUGGAUAUUUAUUAUUUAUUGCUCUUACAAUGUUAAGAACAAUGGACAAGGGGCUGGGGUUGUAGCUCAGUGGCAGAGCACUUGUCUAUCACAUGUGAGGCACUGUGUUUGAUCCUUAGCACCACAUUAAAAAAAUAAAGGUAUUGUGUCCAUCUACAAAUACAAUAUUUUUAAGAAAGAACAAUGGAUAAAAUUGAAUAUUGUUAGACCACACCCAGACUUCCUUUAACAGCUUCAUAUGGCAGUGGACUCUUUAACCUUAGUGAAAUCAGCUUUGCAUAUGAUUUUUAAAAAAUAAUACCAGGAAUUAAAUCCAGGGGAAGUUUACCACUUAGUUACACCCCUAGCCCUUUUUAUUUUGACACAGGGUCUUACUAAGUUGUUUAGGGCCUCACUAAAUUUCUGAGGCUGAUCUUGAACUUGCGAUCUCUUGCCUCAGCCUCUCUAGUUGCUGGGAUCAUAAGGGUACACCACUAUACCGGGCUCAGGUUUGCAUUUGAAUUGUCAUUUUUUUAAACUUGCAAAUGAUCAUAUUUAACCUUGAAUAAAACAUAUUUGGUGAACAGAUGUUUUUCCCUGAGCUUUCUUUGGAUGUGUGUGUUUAUGUCUCUCUCUCUGUGUAUGUCUCCUCAUUUGUUGUAUUUCCACAAUAAAUGCAUCAAAGACAUCUCUGAUUUUCACUGCCUUUUUUCUUUCUAGGAUGACCACGUCAGUAGAUGUACUUGUGUCCAUAUGUGUCAUCUUUGCGAUGUCCUUUGUCCCAGCCAGCUUUGUUGUGUUCCUGAUCCAGGAGCGGGUCAGCAAAGCCAAGCACCUACAGUUUAUCAGUGGAGUGAAGCCUGUCAUCUACUGGCUUUCCAAUUUUGUCUGGGAUAUGGUAAGGGCACAGGCCUACUAUCUUUGUAUGAAUCUCCAUCAGGGCCAUGAAAUGGCAUAUAUAAGACAGAGCACCUGUCACUGAGAAUUGUUCCAGUUAUUCUAAAGGUGCAUGAGAAAAGGAAUGGGAGAGACACUUAUACACUUAUACACUUCCAUAACUCCAAAUAUGGUGCUGGAUGCAGAGCUGACUUCACACAGGAAAGAAUAUCUGACUAUACUGAUGACAGUUAUUACCUAAUUUCCUAUUUGAAAACUUUCCCAAGAAACAGAAAUGGAAGGACCUUAGUCUCUCCCAAGCCAGUACUUUUAACUUCUCUGAUAAAUUUUGACCUAUAGAGUCAAGAUAUUCUUUAUCUUGUUAGGAAAGCCAUAUGUUCUUUAAAAACUCCAUACAUUUUACCAUAAAUUUAUUCAUUCAUUUGCAAAUGUAUUUUUGUACCAGCUAUAAUUAAUAUAUUGCUUCUAUUUGGACCAAUAUGGAAGCCUUCAAAGAAUUUUGAAGUUCUAAUUUAAUAAUAAAGUGAAGUUGACCUAUAUUUCCUUAUGAAUUCCAUGAAUUCUAAGCCAUAAGGAACAAAUCUAGUUCUUUCCUCUUUGGAUGGCUCCUCAGAUAUUUAAAGACAACUCUCAUCUAACCAAAGUCUUCCACAGAUGAGAUGAUAUAUGAGAACACACUUAGUCAUCUCUAAAGCACUGUAACAAUGUGAUAAUGAUGGAGAUGAUGAUGAUGUCUUUACUUAUUAUACCAAGACUCUAAGACUGGCCCCAUAUUCCAUAUUGUUAAUGUCCCUUUUGAAAAGCAAAGUCCAGAAUUAACCUUGUAUUCAGGCGAUGGUUUGAAUGGUUACAAGUCUAGAGGGAAUUGAUCUUUCUUCCAUACUUCUAUUCUGCAUUUUAGAAAGAGCACUGUCUUAUUGGCAACUUGAUAGUGAACUGGAAUCUUACUUCACAAAAAUGACUGUUAAAUUGGAAAGCUUUUGUGUUAUGCUAAUACAAUUAACUUUUUAGAACUUAAACUUUACACUUAUCCCUUUUAAACUGCAUCUAGUUAAGUGUCUAUUGUGUUUUGUUUUUGUUUUAUCUUGGUCCAGUAAUUACUUCAUUCAUUUAAAAUAUACUGAGUGCUUACUCUGUGUCUGACUAUGCCAGGCAUAGGAGAUUCAGAGAUGAGAUGGAGUCCCUACCUUCAGGGACAUCACUUAUAUUCUUGUAUAUUAUCUGCCUCUACCUGGUUUAGAAUCUGCAAUUUGCUAUCAGCAUAUCUUCAUCUAAGUUGUUGAUAAACACAUUGAAUAGGAUAGGACUAAUGCAGAGUCCGGUAGCCUUAAGCUGCAAUUCUUUUAACAGCUGACAAAAAUCACUGUCACCUCCCUGCCUGUGCUUUGCCCUGCCAGCUAUGAAAUCUCAUAAUCGUUCUAUGGUCAGGUCUUUAUUUCUGCAUUUUAAUGCCUGAAGCACUGUCAGAACAGACUUUCAAAUUAUUCUCAGUGUGAUGAAACAAUUCUGACAUUCAUGUUAUGAGCGCUUACCUUACAAAUAGAUUACAUGUGAGAUUGAACUUGGGCAGACUAUAAUAUAGCAUUAAUGAUGAAACAGACACAAUCAUCUCUGGGAAGAAUAAUGGAAGCUUAUUUGUCUCCUGUGAAAUUGAAAUUCCUCCGACUGAGGAUCCAUCGUUCAGUGAGUUUACUGAGCGUGACACCUUGGCUUAGUUGUGAGAAAGACAGAAAGGGCAUGCAGUUUAUAAAACCAACCAAGGGUAAAAUGCUUGUCACAAUGUAUUGUCCGUAUUUUGAUUAAUAGUUUAUGUGGCUUCAUUAAUUCAAUAUUAUUCUCCAAUAUGUUUGUCUGCCCUUUCUUGUCUGGUGAUGGUAAAGACUUGGAAUGUGCUGUAUUUUUGACUUACGAGUUAACUUUAUUUCCUUGUUUUCUCUUUUAGUGCAAUUAUGUGGUUCCUGCUACAUUGGUCAUUAUCAUCUUCAUCUGCUUUCAGCAGAAGUCCUAUGUGUCCUCCACCAACCUGCCUGUGCUAGCCCUUCUUCUUUUGCUAUAUGGGUAAGGCACUUUUGGGUAGAGGACUCUAAAAGUGGGUAAGGCAUAUAGUACCCAAUGUCAUAGGGAGGGUAGAGGACUCCAAUGGACAUUUAUCUUCUUGUCUCACCAGGUGGUCAAUCACACCUCUUAUGUACCCAGCCUCCUUUGUGUUCAAGAUCCCCAGCACAGCCUAUGUGGUGCUCACCAGUGUGAACCUCUUCAUCGGCAUCAAUGGCAGUGUGGCCACUUUUGUGCUAGAGCUCUUUACCAACAAUGUGAGUUCUGUAGAAAGAGCACCUCCUACUGGGAUGGGCACUUCUGGGUGCCAGAGGACAGUGGUUAAUUAGGAUCCUAUUCCACUUCUCUGUGACUUUGACUCUGCUGACUACUCCGUCCUCUUUCAGAUACAGCCUUCCGUGGUCUACACAAUACCUUUGUCUCCUGCUGUGCCUUAUAUUUCCCUGGCCAAACAUUUCAGUUUCUUCUGUCAAGUUCUUUUAUGCUUCCAUUUCAGUGUCACUUUGCCCAAGGCUCAGUCCUCUGUCAGCUUUGCUUUCCACUUGAGACACCAUAUCUGGGCAAUGCCAUUCAAUCCCAAGGCGUGCACCACUGCCUUUCUCAGUGUCUUAUUGUUCUCUCAGAUUUAUGCCUUGAUUGUUCCCUCGAACUCUACUCUCCCAUUUUCACAUACCUGGUGGAUGGCUUCAUUUAAAUAACUUAUAGAUACCCAGAACUGGAUAUGUCGUCAUCUUUCCCCUUAGAACCUAGUGUUUCUCUUGCCAUCCCUGUCAUACUUGCUGGCAUUACCAUCCAAUGCAGUUGCCUAACCCAGCUCUCUUGGAAUCAUCCUUGAUGCUUUGCUAUUGCUUAUUUCACAUGUUUGACUGGUCCCAUCAGUUCUUUCAGUUACACGUCGCAUAAACAAGACUCCUUCCAUUCCUGUUGUCACUGCCUUUGUCCAAAUACCUUAGCUCAGCACACAAGGGUUUCAUAGAUGAACAACCUUUCCUGGCCGCUUCCCACUACACCCUUUCUCAAAGCCCUGUAACUUUAGCAGAGUUGUCCCGUAAACUCAGUAUAAUCCUGUAGGCUUGGCUUGAAAUGCCCUUCUUGUAUUGCAGAGCCUGGUACUAUUCUCCCUGCCCUUCAAGAUUUAGCUCAAAGGUGAUGUUGUGCUACUCUGCCCUUUGGGAUGUGCUCUCUUUUUCCCUGGGCCCUCAGAGCCCUCCGUUCUGCCUCUAGUACCACACAUAUCCAGUUACAUAGUCAUUUCCUAUUUCCAUGUUUCUCUUCCUAACCACAGAGACUAUUUAUUCAUUAGCUUUUACCUCUCCCAUGCCCCAGCACAGUGCAUCUUACAAAUAGUAACUUCCUUAAUCCCUGGAUAUGUGGCCAAUGUUGGCUGGGUAUCAUAAUAAUUUUUGAUGUAUUUAAGAAGAUUUUUAUAAAAUUCUAGCAAAAUCCUAAAAUUCAAAUAUUGACCCAGACACAAGCAAUUUGCUUUUAAAAUAUUAAGCAAAUAUUUUGUUAUGGAUUUGCUUCUGGUCAAACAUAGCCUUGUUGCUAUUCUUUGUUCAUUUCUUUAUACCCACAGCAUUACUCCAAAGUUUUUUAAAAAUAUGGAAAAUGCCUACUCCUAUUUAUUGGUAUCCGAAUUCAAAGGUUCAUUUUAUUCUCAGGGAAUCAAAUUGUUUCUUUACUCCCAUAUUUCAGACUUGGAUACAUUUUUAGCCUAAACUAUGAUUGAUAUCCAUACUUUCUCUCUCUGUUAUCUUUUUAGAAGCUGAAUAACAUCAAUGAUAUCCUGAAGUCUGUGUUCUUGAUCUUCCCACAUUUUUGCUUGGGACGAGGGCUCAUUGAUAUGGUGAAAAACCAGGCAAUGGCUGAUGCCCUGGAAAGAUUUGGUGAGUGGAGCAGUGGCUGCUAGAGGUUUCAGAAGAGAUGGCAAUUGCAUGGGCCUUGGGCCCUAGCUUUUGUUUUGGAAAGGGACUGAUGAAUGGGCACUGGAUGUCCAUAUUCCUCUUGCCCCCCUGAAUGUUUAUGCCAGUACAGCUGUUCUGGUGUAGUGUGACAUAGCUAUUUAUCUGUGAAAGGGCAUUUUUGGGAGUAAGGAAAAUGCUGGCAUUUGCUUGUACCCAGUGCCUCAUGCUACUACUUGAGUUUAUUGGAAUUACUGAAAAAGUAACACAGCAUUGGGACUUAGAUACAGAACAAGAAUCAGAAGGAGAGAUGUACACUUUGACUCUAUUAGGAAAAUCACAGGCCUGGAGGUCAUAUAUUAUCUUUUACACAAUCUAUAAAAAGAUAAUUCACUGCAGCUCUUUCUACCUUUAGAGUGGUUAAAAAUAUUUCUCAUAUCAUCAUAUGACUGUCAUUCAUCUACUGGCUAAUGUAGUUAGAUGGGCCAUGUCAUUUGACGGACAUAGAAGAGGGACUUUCUUCAACUUGGAGGUACAAAGGAGAUGUAUAAGGAAUUUAAGGAAUAGUUAGAUAAAAUCAGGUGACUUAAUUGAGUCACUGGGUUACAUUAUGUGCCGUUGAAAUGGUCAUCUUUUUAAUGUGCUUUCUAGUAUUUCUUAUUACUAAAAACUUGGAAUUCAUUAAAAUACUGACCUUAAAAAUUAUCCUGGAUUGUUUGCCUUAUCUAAAAGGAUUUUUGGCCUAUCUCAUUCAAAAGAUAUUAGCUAUCUGACAUGAAGUUAUAGAUCUAAGACAUGUUGGCUCUAAAAUUCUGAUUGAUACAGGGUAGUAGUAUGUUCCCACAAGUCAGAUUUGAAAAGUAGUCACUCUCAUUAUUUUUUCUCCUUUUCUUUGGUAAUAGCCAUUGGUGUUUCUAGGAAAAUAGGUGAACUGGACCCCAUGUUUGAAGAAGGACAUGGUUCUUGACACCUUCAUUCUGACUUGAUUUCUGAAUUUUGUUUACUAGGGGAGAAUCGCUUUGUGUCACCACUCUCUUGGGACUUGGUAGGACGAAACCUUUUUGCCAUGGCUGUGGAAGGGGUGGUAUUUUUCCUCAUUACAGUUCUGAUCCAGUACAGAUUCUUCAUCAGGCCCAGGUAAGCUUUUGCUCAGAACUCAUGGAGCACUUGGUAGAGGGUCACAGAGGGGACACAGGGAAACACUUGCCAAGGAUGGUUGGAUCGAAUUUGAACUCAAGAAAAUCAAAUUGAUUUUCCUAUUAUGGGCAUCCUGCAACGCCUACCCUGCCAAGGCUGGAAGUUGUGGCAAGCAGGUUUUAGGAGAUUGCUUUAGAGACUGGAUUUUGUUUUUAAAAAGAGUUUGAAAGGUUGUUUUUCUUAAAAUUUUUCUUCUAAGACCAGUGAAAGCAAAGCUUCCUCCUUUGAAUGAUGAGGAUGAAGAUGUAAGGCGGGAAAGACAGAGAAUUCUGGAUGGUGGAGGACAGAAUGAUAUCUUGGAAAUCAAGGAGUUGACUAAGGUGAGAUAGUGAGUAGGGGCUAUUACAGGCUUAAUUUUUCAGUUGUAUGUGCUGGAAACUACCCUAGUUGCUUAAUGAAAAAGCUUGCUUCCCCAAAUGUGCAUCUAUACUAAGCUACUGUCAAUUUAAUUUUAUUUUAAAGAUACAUGGAAACUUCUUAAUUAGAGAGUCUACUGAGAAUACUUUUGUAAUGUGAAUUUCCAUUCUCAAAUUUAUUUCUUUUACUUAUAUUUAUUUGUGUGUUAGUUAUUAAAACAUUAUAUUGUUAUGUUGUAUGCAUGUACAGAUAUGUAACAACAAAUCCCAUCAAUAUGUACAACUAUAAUGCACCAAUAAAAAAUGAAGAAAAAACAUACUAAUAUUAUAUAUCUAGUCAAAACUGAGGUAUGGAGAAUAAAUUGUUGAUUUUAAAUUUUAUAAUCACCAAAGCUGACAUGUCUCUAAUGCCCGCUUAGAUGGCAGAAUCCCAAAUUUCACUUUUUGUAACACAUAGAAUAUUUGAAAUACUUUGAUUGCAAAAUUUUAUCCUGUAGAAUCUAAUUUUAGGCUGGGGUUGUGACUCAGUGGAAGAGUGCUUGCCUAGCACAUGUGAGGAACUGGGUUUAAUCCCUGGCAUCACGUAAAAAUGAACAAAUGAAGUAAAGGUAUUAUGUCCCCCUACAACUAAAAAAAAUUUUAAAAAAAUUAAAAAUGAACUAUAAAUAAUACAUGGAAAAAAUAUGUAGAUAUUAGUGUCUGAUAUAUUUUUUAAAAGACCCAAAUUAAAAAUUAAAAAGAAAUUCACUUUUAUUUUGAGCUUCAAAGUUACACCUGGUUGGCAGAGAGAGAAAUGGCUCUUAGCACAUCAUAUAUGACUUAGUCUUAUUGACAGAGUCUUAUUUCAUGGCGUGUUUGGGUUAUAAUCCUCUCUGCCACAGUUGCUUGGAAGAGCUGUGAGUCACUGAAGCUCAUGAAUUUGCAUUUUGUCUGUUGCAGAUAUAUAGGAGGAAGAGGAAGCCUGCUGUUGACAGGAUUUGUGUUGGCAUUCCUCCUGGUGAGGUAAACACACUUUGUCUGCAUUGUGUUUGUUAAUUCACACUGUAUCUAUCCAAUCAAAUAACCAUGUUUAUAAAGGAUGAAAAUGGCUUUCAAAGUUUCUCUCCUUAUGCCUGUGUGAAGCAAUCAGUCAUCAAGAGAUUGGGGACCCCUUAUAUCAAGAGAAUGAUUUUGGAUAAUCUCGGGCAUUUUAAGAAAAGCAUGUACACCCAAAAUGUGCUUUUGUGAUCUAUUUCAGAGGAUGAGGGAAUUCAAAUAGAUUUUUCUCCUUCUCAUUUCUGAUGUGUCCUUUUAUGCCCUUUAGUCAAAUAAGGUGGUAUAAUUUGACUAACUGGCUUUCAUUACUGUUUUUCACACAUCCAUUAACUUGGUCUUAAUCUGACAACUCAAAUGGUACUUAAAAAUACAGACUUGCUGAAAAUGAUCCCAUUAUAAAAUACAUAUUUAAUAUCUGUAUGAUGUCCUAAACCAAAAAGAUAUUUGUCAUUGAUAUUUAAGAAUGAUGUUUCAGGAUGAUGUCAUAUAAAAAUGAAGCUCAGUUGGCUAUUUUCUAGGGUUGUUCAAAUUUAGUUUUAGUAGUUUGAUUAUACAACUCACCUGGUCUUAUUCUUUCAGUGCUUUGGACUUCUGGGAGUUAAUGGUGCUGGGAAAUCAUCCACUUUCAAGAUGCUAACUGGAGACACCACUGUUACCAGAGGGGAUGCUUUCCUUAACAAAAAUAGGUGAGAAAAGAAGUGAUCUGUAUUUUGUUACAAGGACUUUUUUUAGUUUUAAAGAAACACAUUGUUAUUUUUUGAUUAUAAUAGUACACUUUAGAUUUCAUAAAAAUGAAACUGUUAAAUAUAGUAAAGUUUAAAGAAGAACAAAAAAAAUCAUCCAUAAUUUCACUACCUGGAGAUAACCACUCUACAUUUUCUUUCAGUCUUACUGCAUCACUUUUAUCAGCUUUUUCAUACGUGUAAAUUACUUGUUUUUAUUUUUUAUUUUUUUAAAUAAUUACUUUUUAGUUUUAGGUGGACACAUAUCUUUAUUUUACAUUUAUGUGGUGCUGAGGAUCGAACCCAGUGCCUCGUGCGUGCUAGGCGAGCACUCUACCACUGAUCCACGACCCCAGCCCAAUUACUUGUUUUUAAAGAACAAUUCAGUAAUUCUUAGUGAAUUCACAGAAUUGUGCCAUCAUCACUACAAUCCAGUUUUAGAUGUUUUCUAUCACCCCAAAUCUGUCUUUCUACACAUAUAAAUGUAUCAUAAAAUUGAGAUUAUUCUGCAUAUAGGUUUAAAAUUAGUUUUUAUUGUUAAUGGUUAUAUUAUGAAUAUUUUCCAGUGGGUUAAAAAUACAUUGCUCCAUAAAAUUCCUCUGUGUACAUGUACCUAUAAUUUGUUUAAUCAAUUCCUUAUAAAUGUUGGGCAUUUAUUAAUUUUUAUUUUUUACUAUAUAAAUAUGUGCUUGUAUACAACUUUUAUUGUUUCUUUGUAUUAGUUUCUACAAGGUAUUACCUGCUAGCUCAUCUUCUAGAAAGAGUGGACCCACUGAUGAAGCCAUCACUAGGCUGUUUUCUGAGACUGUACAGUUACAAAGCAGUCUGAUCUUUGGGAGUACAGCAACACAUUAGAGGCCUGUUAGGCAGUAUUAACAUUGAAUGCUCUAAAUAUGUGGGGUUUCUUCAGGCUUUCUAUAUGGAUACAUGGUACAAAGGCAGUGACCUUUAAACUCUUCUGAACCAUGAUCCAUGUAGGAUAUAAUAUUUUAUACUUCAGCCUGAUACACACAAGAUACAUUAACACACAUAUGAUUUAAUGAAAUUUUUCAUAAAUAGUACCUGCUGUUACUACUUAAAAUACACUCUAAUAACUCUUAUUUUAUUCUCUAUCAUGUCAUUUAAUUUUGUUGUUGUUGUUGUUACUGGGGAUUGAACUUAGGGGCACUCAACCAUUGAGCCACGUCCCCAGCCUAAUUUUAUAUUUUGACUAGAGACAGGGUCUCACUGAGUUGCCUAGUGACUUGCUGUUACUGAGGCUGUCUUUGAACUCAAGAUCCUCCUGCUUCAGUCUCCAAAGCCUGUGGGGUUACAGGUGUGCGCCACUGCGCCCGGCAUAUCAUAUCAUUUAAAAAGUGCUGGUUGUGGAUUUAUUUUAUAAAUCACUAAUGGGAGAUGACUCUAAAUUUGAAAACACUGAACAGGGGAAUAGCCAAUAAUAUUGAAGAGUGAGGAAACUGAUGUACUCGUUGAUCUUUUUUCCCCCUUAUCAAUCAUUUCAGUAGCAACUUAAGAACCUUAAAAGAACAGAACUUUUGGGAAUACCACUGUUCCCUAGGCUUAUUUCUAAUGCUCCUGGGGCACUUAGCAAUGGCAGCAGUAACUGGCUCAACCUAAGGUUUAUCAUAGUAAUGGGUUAUAAGAACUGACUCAGUCAUAAUUCUGGAGAAAGCUGACACUGGGAGUUCUAAAUAGAUAAGCAGAGAUGAAUGACCACUGCCAAAAGGCCAAGUUCAAGUAGGUCACAACCAGUACUUUUCAAAUGACAUGUUAGAGAAUAGAAUAAGAAUUAUCAGAAUGUACUAUUAGUAGUAACAACAGGUACCAUUUUAUGAAACAUUUCAUUAAAUCAUAUGUGUGAGUGUUAAUGUAUCUUAUUGAGGGUGUGAAGUGCAGGCAUGAAAAUGGGAUAUAGACACUGAAAUUUUCAUACAUUAGGGAUUCUUAACCUUAUUGGCAUCAAAGAACCUAAAAAUUGCCCCCACCUGUAAGAUUGUAGGUGUAUUUUUCUGUUUCCACAUGUUCAGAGGGUCUACGAUAAAGGAACAAGCAAAAAACCCUUAAAAGCUAGGAGGGUUUCUGGGCUAGGUAUUUGGUAGGACCAGAAUAUGUGGAAUAUGCACACUGUGGUUGAGUCAAUGUAUGGCUCAGCAGAAGGCAGAAGGGAGCUCACACCCAGGAUUUCUGGGUCCAGAUGGUCAUGAAGACAACUUUGGGCUGACAAUGCACUUGGUACAUAUGACCACAGGAGCAAGUCUGGGAUGAAGAUGUUAAAGCUCCAGAUAGUGUUAUUUAGGUUGUUGGUAAAGACUGCUGCAGUGGGCAUGGACUCAGGGAUUUUGAAACAGGACCAAGCAUGCAUGUUUGAAAUGCUGGGAGAUACAGAUGCAAAGAUAAGGCAGGGUAGAGACAGAAACCCUGACAGAUGGGAACAGCUAUCAUCCGAGGGGCAGAAAGGCUGUUCCUUUAAGCAGCAGAUAUUGGUAUCUUUGUAAAGCACAAGCAUACUCUAUAGGAAUGUUAACCCAGAUUGUCUGAUUAGAAUAUGUCUAAAUGCUUAAAACCUAACAAGUUUUAUUUUCAUUUGCAGUAUCUUGUCAAAUAUCCAUGAAGUACAUCAGAACAUGGGAUAUUGCCCUCAGUUUGAUGCUAUCACAGAGCUGCUGACUGGAAGAGAGCAUGUAGAGUUCUUUGCCCUCUUGAGAGGAGUCCCAGAGAAAGAAGUUGGCAAGGUACCAUGGAUACUAGAAAGCCAACCUGCCUCUUUGGCAUCCUGACACCAUACC
rnacentral:lncRNA from 1 species